rnacentral:rRNA from 1 species
GUGAACCGGGAUGAGCUCAAAUUUGAAAUCUGGCGUCUUUCAGGCGUCCGAGUUGUAAUCUAUAGAGGCGUUUUCCGCGCCGGACCGCGUCCAAGUCUCUUGGAAUAGAGUAUCAAAGAGGGUGACAAUCCCGUACUUGACGCGACAACCGGUGCUCUGUGAUACGUUCUCAAUGAGUCGAGUUGUUUGGGAAUGCAGCUCUAAAUGGGUGGUAAAUUCCAUCUAAGGCUAAAUAUUGGCGAGAGACCGAUAGCGAACAAGUACCGUGAGGGAAAGAUGAAAAGCACUUUGGAAAGAGAGUUAAACAGCACGUGAAAUUGUUAAAAGGGAAACGAUUGAAGUCAGUCGUGUGGGAAGUAUUCAGCCGUCUCUGGCGGUGUAUUUGCUUCUCACGGGUCAACAUCAGUUUGAUCCGGUAGAAAAAGGCGGGAAGAAGGUGGCACCCUCGGGUGUGUUAUAGCUUCCUGUCAUAUGUGCCGGACCAGACUGAGGAACGCAGCUUGCAGCAAUGCCGGGGUCGCCCACGUACAAGCUUAGGA